rnacentral:lncRNA from 1 species
CAGUUGUGGUAUGACCUCCUCUUGUAAUAUCAUCUAUAUGAAUUCAAAUCAUAUUUUACCAGUGUGCCAAAAUUUUGAAGUUAAGAAACCUUCUCUGCGCAGUGUACUGUUAACUUCGGUUCCAUAAUUAAACCAGAACCUCUGUCCUGGACAGGUUCACUCAGCUUUGCCUGCCUUUGAGUAAUACACCUUCAGACCAGUGACUUCCUUUGAUGUAUUACAAUGAUAGACUGAAGAGUUCAUGUAAUACAUCAUCACAGUCAGCUGUUGCUGGACGCCAAGGAUUGAGAGACCGAGCCAGCUGUUUUUCUGAGCCCCAGGUGCAGCCUUCCAUCAGCCACUUCACUGCCUUUGCACAUAUGACUGUUAAUGAAGUAAGUGUCAAGUACCAGCAGAAUAAAACCAUUAUAACUGUGCAACACCCAAGAGCUUUCUGAAACUAAUCAAACUCUGUCAAAUUCUGGGAGGAAGAGAAGAGAUUUGAAAUGGAAAGGCUGGAAAGCUGUGAACAUCAUCUUUACUAGUACUUCUUCCAAAUACUUCUCUUUUUUUUUUUUUUUUUUUUUUUUUUUUUUUUUUUUUUUUUUUUUUGUAAAUCUAUUAUUGGUUAUGGCUUUGUAUAUGUAAACCUCAUAAUAUAGUUAGCAAACCCCUGAAGAUAAAUAGGUCCUGCCCUAAAACUUUAUCCUCUAGUUAUGGAAGGUUUGCACUACAAACAAAGGGUAAGUAUAUUUUACUAACAGUAAACGUACUUUUCUGUCUGUACUCGUAUAUUAUAAAUCAUACUGUUACAAGACAUUAAAUAUGGUUUUAUGGCAUGUCAUUCUGAGUCAAAAACAUACCAGUCCCAUAUAUACAAAGCUCCGUACCAGUACCACUCAUUAUGCUGAUUCAAAUAUAAUCAAAGAUUUUUAAAGAAAAGCUUUGCCUGGCAGACUUCAUCCUGGAUCAGAUAGUUUCGCAGACUGUCUUUUCACAGCCACCAUAAACCUAGCAUAAAUAUUGUGUCAUGUGCUCUGCCUUCCCCAGCAGAUCUGUGAUUUGAUGCUCACAUCUGAUCUAUUGCCAGUAAAGUAACUUGUUCUCUUCAUCUCCAGUGCUCCAAGGAGCUGGGUGUUUUCAGCUCCUCUUUGGUCUCAAAGCCAAUGCUUAGCACUUGGGCAAGGGCAAGUUCCAUAGAAUCACAUCUGUAUUUUAUUUCCAGCAGUUGAUUGUAGGUACAAAAUUCUAAGUGCAAAUGAUCUCUGUAACCAACUAAAGAUUUAUCCAUUCUAAACAAAGAAUUUUCUGUGCUUGCUUUGUCAGACCACCUCGUUUAAUCCCCAGGAUUACGUACAUGAUUGGCAAUCAACCUUGAAGCCUGAGCAAAACAUUUUACUCAGUCUUGGCUGCUCCUCUGUUAUUUUACUUUUGUUUUUAAAUUUUUUUUUUUGCCUU